AGAGUUUGAUCAUGGCUCAGAUUGAACGCUGGCGGCAUGCUUUACACAUGCAAGUCGAACGGCAGCGCGGGGGGCAACCCCGUGCGGGGGCGAGUGGCGAACGGGUGAGUAAUGCAUCGGAACGUAUCCUGUAAUGGGGGAUAACGUAGCGAAAGUUACGCUAAUACCGCAUACGCUCGAGAGAGGAAAUGGGGGAUCGCAAGACCUCACGUUAUAGGAGCGGCCGAUGUCCGAUUAGCUAGUUGGUGGGGUAAAGGCCUACCAAGGCGACGAUCGGUAGCAGGUCUGAGAGGAUGAUCAGCCACACUGGGACUGAGACACGGCCCAGACUCCUACGGGAGGCAGCAGUGGGGAAUUUUGGACAAUGGGCGAAAGCCUGAUCCAGCCAUGCCGCGUGCGGGAAGAAGGCCUUCGGGUUGUAAACCGCUUUAGUCCGGGAAAAAGGGGUGCUAGGAUAAUACCCUCGUGCUUUGAUGGUACUGGAAGAAUAAGCACCGGCUAACUACGUG
rnacentral:rRNA from 1 species